AUGAACGCUAGCUACAGGCUUAACACAUGCAAGUCGAGGGGCAUCAGUUUGGUUUGCUUGCAAACCAAAGCUGGCGACCGGCGCACGGGUGAGUAACACGUAUCCAACCUGCCUCAUACUCGGGGAUAGCCUUUCGAAAGAAAGAUUAAUAUCCGAUAGCAUAUAUUUCCCGCAUGGGUUUUAUAUUAAAGAAAUUCGGUAUGAGAUGGGGAUGCGUUCCAUUAGUUUGUUGGCGGGGUAACGGCCCACCAAGACUACGAUGGAUAGGGGUUCUGAGAGGAAGGUCCCCCACAUUGGAACUGAGACACGGUCCAAACUCCUACGGGAGGCAGCAGUGAGGAAUAUUGGUCAAUGGACGCGAGUCUGAACCAGCCAAGUAGCGUGAAGGAUGACUGCCCUAUGGGUUGUAAACUUCUUUUAUAUGGGAAUAAAGUGGUCCACGUGUGGAUUUUUGUAUGUACCAUAUGAAUAAGGAUCGGCUAACUCCGUGCCAGCAGCCGCGGUAAUACGGAGGAUCCGAGCGUUAUCCGGAUUUAUUGGGUUUAAAGGGAGCGUAGGCGGAUUGUUAAGUCAGUUGUGAAAGUUUGCGGCUCAACCGUAAAAUUGCAGUUGAUACUGGCAGUCUUGAGUGCAGUAGAGGUGGGCGGAAUUCGUGGUGUAGCGGUGAAAUGCUUAGAUAUCACGAAGAACUCCGAUUGCGAAGGCAGCUCACUGGAGUGUAACUGACGCUGAUGCUCGAAAGUGUGGGUAUCAAACAGGAUUAGAUACCCUGGUAGUCCACACAGUAAACGAUGAAUACUCGCUGUUUGCGAUAUACAGUAAGCGGCCAAGCGAAAGCAUUAAGUAUUCCACCUGGGGAGUACGCCGGCAACGGUGAAACUCAAAGGAAUUGACGGGGGCCCGCACAAGCAGUGGAGUAUGUGGAUUAAUUCGAAGCAACGCGAAGAACCUUACCAAGUCUUGACAUCCUGUGACGCACAUAGAAAUAUGUGUUUCCUUCGGGACGCAGAGACAGGUGGUGCAUGGUUGUCGUCAGCUCGUGCCGUGAGGUGUCGGCUUAAGUGCCAUAACGAGCGCAACCCUUAUCUUCAGUUACUAACAGGUUAUGCUGAGGACUCUGGAGAGACUGCCGUCGUAAGAUGUGAGGAAGGUGGGGAUGACGUCAAAUCAGCACGGCCCUUACGUCCGGGGCUACACACGUGUUACAAUGGGGGGUACAGAAGGCCGCUACCUGGUGACAGGAUGCCAAUCCCAAAAACCUCUCUCAGUUCGGAUCGAAGUCUGCAACCCGACUUCGUGAAGCUGGAUUCGCUAGUAAUCGCGCAUCAGCCAUGGCGCGGUGAAUACGUUCCCGGGCCUUGUACACACCGCCCGUCAAGCCAUGAAAGCCGGGGGUACCUGAAGUACGUAACCGCAAGGAGCGUCCUAGGGUAAAACUGGUAAUUGGGGCU
rnacentral:rRNA from 1 species